CCUACGGGAGGCAGCAGUGAGGAAUAUUGGUCAAUGGGCGCGAGCCUGAACCAGCCAAGUAGCGUGAAGGAUGACUGCCCUACGGGUUGUAAACUUCUUUUAUAAAGGAAUAAAGUGAGGCACGUGUGCCUCUGUGGAUGUACUUUAGGAAUAAGGAUCGGCUAACUCCGGGCCAGCAGCCGCGGUAAUAAGGAGGAUCGGAGCGUUAUCCGGAUUUAUUGGGGUUAAAGGGAGCGUAGAUGGGUUGUUAAGGGAGUUGUGAAAGUUUGCGGGUCAACCGUAAAAUUGCAAUUGAUACUGGCAGCCUUGAGUACAGUAGAGGUAGGCGGAAUUCGUGGUGUAGCGGUGAAAUGCUUAGAUAUCACGAAGAACUCCGAUUGCGAAGGCAGCUUACUAACCUGCCACUGACACUGAUGCUCGAAAGUGUGGGUAUCAAACAGGAUUAGAUACCCCAGUAGUC
rnacentral:rRNA from 1 species